AUACGAACCGUACAAACGUUAUUCGGAAUCACUGGGCUUAAAGGGUGCGUAGGCGGCUUGGAUAGUUGGGUGUGAAAUCCCUCGGCUCAACCGAGGAACUGCGCCCAAAACUGCCGUGCUAGAGGGAGACAGAGGUGAGCGGAACUUAGGGUGGAGCGGUGAAAUGCGUUGAUAUCCUAAGGAACACCGGUGGCGAAAGCGGCUCACUGGGUCUCUUCUGACGCUGAGGCACGGAAGCUAGGGUAGCGAACGGGAUUAGAAACCCCGGUAGUCC
rnacentral:rRNA from 1 species